AAACUUUCAACAACGGAUCUCUUGGUUCUGGCAUCGAUGAAGAACGCAGCGAAAUGCGAUAAGUAAUGUGAAUUGCAGAAUUCAGUGAAUCAUCGAAUCUUUGAACGCACAUUGCGCCCUUUGGUAUUCCGAAGGGCAUGCCUGUUCGAGCGUCAUUACAAC
rnacentral:rRNA from 6 species